rnacentral:rRNA from 1 species
UACGGGAGGAGCAAGCGUUGUUCGGAUUUACUGGGCGUAAAGGGCGCGUAGGCGGCCUCCGCAAGUCAGUUGUGAAAUCUCCGAGCUUAACUCGGAAAGGUCAACUGAUACUGCGGGGCUAGAGUGCGGAAGGGGCAACUGGAAUUCUUGGUGUAGCGGUGAAAUGCGUAGAUAUCAAGAGGAACACCUGCGGCGAAGGCGGGUUGCUGGGCCGACACUGACGCUGAGGCGCGAAAGCUAGGGGAGCGAACGGG